rnacentral:rRNA from 1 species
UACGUAGGGUGCAAGCGUUAAUCGGAAUUACUGGGCGUAAAGCGUGCGCAGGCGGCUUUGCAAGACAGAUGUGAAAUCCCCGGGCUCAACCUGGGAACUGCAUUUGUGACUGCAAGGCUAGAGUACGGUAGAGGGGAUGGAAUUCCGCGUGUAGCAGUGAAUGCGUAGAUAUGCGGAGGAACACCGAUGGCGAAGGCAAUCCCCUGGACCUGUACUGACGCUCAUGCACGAAAGCGUGGGGAGCAAACAGG